AGGUCCGUAGCUCAAUUGGUAGAGCACCGGUCUCCAAAACCGGGGGUUGGGGGUUCGAGCCCCUCCGGGCCUG
rnacentral:tRNA from 1 species